CCUACGGGUGGCAGCAGUGAGGAAUAUUGGUCAAUGGACGAGAGUCUGAACCAGCCAAGUAGCGUGAAGGAUGACUGCCCUAUGGGUUGUAAACUUCUUUUAUAAAGGAAUAAAACGCGGCACGUGUACCUUUUUGCAUGUACUUUAUGAAUACGGAUCGGCUAACUCCGUGCCAGCAGCCGCGGUAAUACGGAGGGUCCGAGCGUUAUCCGGAUUUAUUGGGUUUAAAGGGAGCGUAGAUGGGUUGUUAAGUUCGUUGUGAAAGUUUGCGGCUCAACCGUAAAAUUGCAAUGGAUACUGGCAGUCUUGAGUACAGGUGAGGUAAGCGGAAUUCGUGGUGUAGCGGUGAAAUGCUUAGAUAUCACGAAGAACCCCGAUUGCGAAGGCAGCUUACUAAACUGUGACUGACAUUGAUGCUCGAAAGUGUGGGGAUCAAACAGGAUUAGAUACCCUGGUAGUC
rnacentral:rRNA from 1 species